rnacentral:RNase_P_RNA from 2 species
UCAGUCGGCCGGACGGCCGCUCCGGCAGGUGCCGAAAGGUCGCCGGGGAGGAAAGUCCGGGCUCCCUUGACAUGCGGUGCCGGAUAACGUCCGGCGGGGGCAACCCCAGGGAAAGUGCCACAGAGAACGAACCGCCCGCCGUCGCCCCUUCGGGGCUUUGGCGAGGUAAGGGUGAAAAGGUGCGGUAAGAGCGCACCGCGGCUCCGGCAACGGAGCCGGCAUGGUAAACCCCACCGGGAGCAAAACCGAAUAGGGACGGCUUAAGCGGGCUGUUCGCGAAAGCGAUAACGCCGCGGGGCGAUGUCAGGCCCGCCGUCCGGGUAGGUUGCUCGAGGCCAUGUGCAAACAUGGUCCCAGAGGAAUGGCCGUCACGUAUCGUGCGCGCAAGCGGACGGUGCCCUACAGAACCCGGCUUACAGGCCGGCUGAUAUC